AGAGAGAGAGAGAUCUGAGGAGAAGAGGGAGAACCAAAAUGGAGGCUGACGUGGUGUUAUCAAAGGAUAUGUGCAAGAUGAGAGCCAGCCAUCGUCUCCUGAUAGUGGAGAUUUGAUCUGAAGCAUUCAAAUAGGAAAUGAAUGCUCAGAGGAAGCUUCAAAUUUCUUUCUACUUGAAGAAGCUGAAUUGCAGAAGCUAUCUCUGUCCUGUUAAUCACCGGGUCCACAGUGAAACCAGCCAACUUCAGAGGAGACUCUUGUGCUGCGUGACCCCUGACUGUAACCAAGUGUCCUUCUCUCUGAGACGUUCCCUCGGAGCUUGUUCUCACAGCCCUCACCUCCAGUGACCUCCACGAACUUUUCCACACGAGGGGUUCUCUGCUUCCCUCCAUCUGAGCUGCGCAAUUCCACCAGGCCUUUUGCUCCUCUUCAGUCAGGUGCUUUGGAGGUAAUGAAGUCUUUCGGGGGAAAAAUAAACAAAGGAAAUGCACCCGGUUGAUGUCAAUGGACUUGUUUAACUAUUUAAGG
rnacentral:lncRNA from 1 species